GGGCGCCUAGCUCAGUUGGCAGAGCAACUGACUCUUAAUCAGUGGGUCGCAGGUUCGAAUCCUGCGGCGCCCACCA
rnacentral:tRNA from 1 species